GAUUUUUUGGAUCUUAAUCAGAGAAAGGAUGCUGGAGAGCCAGAGACUCUACUGGAACUAUGCUUUUGGAAGAGUCACCUCUAGAAGCAGCAUGAAGAGUGGAAUGUGAUCACAGAGCGGAGGGGAGCCCGGCUGGUUGAGAAGCUGUGACCACAAUCUAAGGACGAGUACUGGGUUGGAGAUACAGAAAGAACGUAACGGACAGCGUGAAAUGGAAAUGCAGGAACAUUUAAAAUUAGGAAGACGGUUACCUCCCUGUGGACGAACAACGCGUGGCUGCACGAAUGACGGCUUCACGACUUCAAACCACCAGAAGAGUUCUGCCA